GUUUACGGAUCUUAUGAAAAGAGCUAUGGAAAAUAUCCCGGACUCUAUCCACCUUAUUUAGCAAGUUUAGCAACUAGCAAUAUAUUUGACGCUUCACUCAAACCAGAUGGCUGGGAUCCGAUUUACGUCCAUAAUCACAAAAAUCGUCAAGUUCGGAUAGGGAUUAGAUCAACGACAAAUGGAAACAAUCAACUCGACCCAGGAACUAAUAUGGUUGGGAUAGCAACUCUAUUUGCUAUCCUCCUGGUCAAGAGCAUGCUUAAUGAACAAGGAUUCCAAUAAAAGAAAAGAUAAAGGAACUUGCUUGAUUUUGUGAUGGAACAAAAUAAGAAGUCACACAACUCGGCCACAUUUAUCCUACCCAUCUUAGCUGAUACCUAAUGUUUAAAGUUAAAUUUUAGUUUAAAAUUACCGCAUCAGGUAAAACUAUUCAUGUUAGUCUUUUCAUUAGUCAUCUAAAACAUUUAAAACGUAUACAUAAUUUUAUAAAAGACAUUGUAGGAUAUUAUUAUUAUCUAAAUGCUGUUAACUCGUUUAAUGGUUCAACCUUUUGUUAAAAUAUCUUUUGCUUGCUGUAAUAAUUCAAGUAUAUGAAUUACCAUUUAACAUCAGUUUAAGUAAAAAUAACGUAAAAUAAAUAUUUGCAUA